GGGGAUUUAGCUCAGUGGUUCCAGUGCGUGCCUUGCAAGCACAAGGACCUGAGUUCAAUCCCCG
rnacentral:tRNA from 1 species